AGCAGCAUACUGAGCAGUGGCGAGCUCAGCUGGUAGCUGGCCGACAUAGCUUGCAACCAGUUCAGUCUGCUUAUCCCGAAUCAAGAGGGAGAUGUACGCUUUCAGCACAUCCACACACACUUCCUCCUUGGAGACAGGUAUUCUCGUGGCAGUGUCUCUAAUUCUUGAUGAGCCAUACCAGAUGACAUCAGGUCUUUUUCAACCAGCGUGUCGACCAUUACUCUGAAGUAUGACCAAACACAGUCUUCCCAAGACUCACACACUGCUAGCAGCUGAAACACAGACAUUCAUAUUGUUAAUAUGCAUUUGUCAUUAAGUAGAUAUUUCCACACUAACACACUCUGAGAUUAGCUACACUGACAAAAGUGCUGAUCACCUUUAGGCAGUGGUUUCUUACAAAGAAUUACACAAAAAGACAAACAAAUUAUUUUACCGGCUUAAGGUUUCCACUCAGACUGGCAUAGAUCGCUCGCUCAUAUCGAUGCAACUGCUCCUAAAAAGCACAAAUAGAAUGUUAAUGCAUAUUUUGUCUUUUUGACCUGUCACAAGCAAAAAUUAUGGCAGUUUAAACUCAAAUAUAAAAUUAGUAAACAGAUGAAUUUGAAAUGUAUUUGCUGUACCUCCUCUGCCAUUCUCCAGCAACAGACCUUCCAGAUUCCUCUAUGAGGGUUUCCUUCAACAGGCUGCAACUCAACAGUGCCUGUGAAGAGAAAAGGAUUUAAGUUUAGGCUCAAAGCUUUAGUGGCGGCAAAGCUUCAUGGUGCCAAUAAUCAGGUCAAAGUUUACCCGAGUUCCUGUUGGGAUCAUGGUAGAGUUUCCAACCUUCCAGCGUUGCGGCUCUCCAGGCCUGACCGCAGCGUAUACACAGUCUCUGAGCCUAUAAACACACACAUACAAAGUGUUUCACCUCCAUUGUGGCAGAGUUUUCCAACAGCAAUGGACAAAGAAAAUACUCAGGAUUAAAAAAUAUAGAUGACAAGGUCAGGAUACCAAAUUAUAUAAACUCUAAACAUGGUCAUUUUACGUAAUUUUUACAAAUAUAUAAACAAAAUCACUCUGCAUCCCUGUGUUAUGCUACCUCUUCAGUCAUCCCAGCUCUGAUCAGUGUGAACAAGUUCUUCAGCAGCCUGGCAUCAUCCUCUCUGUCCAGGUCUGCUAGAGGGCGCUGUUGCCGGAUAGGAGCAUCCGGGUCCUGGAUAGAAUAAAACACACCUAUUCAGUGUAUUUACAAACACUACUGGUGUUUUGUAGUGGUAGGAGGUCUCACCAGCUCAGUGACCAGAGGGACAGUGAAGGCAGUGCCAUUCUUUCGCCUCAUCUUCAGUGCAUGGAGUGUGUUCUCCCUAAAAUCCCAAACAUGUACGCAAACGCUGCUGAUUGUUGUCCUCCCAUGAAAACUUACCCAGAAGAAUCCAGGUGAUGAGUCAUACAUGCCACUAUAGACUUAGUAAUUUGAAUAAACUCACCAGCAAACAUUUUUGGCAUAGUACUCUAUGUUAUCAGAGAAAUCACGAAUUUGAUCCUUGGCAAUGUUCUCCAGCCAAUCAACAACCAGCUGCAACACAAUGAGCAGAAAGGGAUAAUACCAGUAGUAUUACUUUGCAUCAACCUACUUAUGAAAGUAAAAACGCAGACAUGUAUUUUGACUGUGAGCCAAUGGAAGGUAGAUGGAGAAACAAGCAAGUGAAAAAGCGACUUGUACCUGGCUUUGUCGUAUGACAGCAUCCCGCUGAAAAAGCUGCUCCACUACAACCUUCUCACUCUCACUGGGAACCUAAACAUACACACAAAAAACAACCACAAGUUAAUUUUGUGCUCUGUCAAUGCUGUAUCUGUAAAUCACCACAUCAACUUCAAAUGUGAUUGUAUAUGUAUAUCUGUGUUUUUUUUGCAUAAAUUAUUACAGGUUUAAGUGCGAUAAGUUGACUCACAACCAUGUCUGCCAUGAGGUCAUCUUCUAGUGCUGACUGGACACGAUCCCUGCAGUGACACACAUGUAAAGACUCAGAGACACAGUGCACAGGCAAACUGAGACACACAGUCUUUCAGAUGCACAAGUACCUGUAAAGAGAGGCAAUAAGCCUCCAGGAGCAGUUCUCUUGCUGCAGCAGCCAUCGGACUCCUGCUGUUUUACUGUUCUGACCUGCUCUGAGGACCAAAGGCUGCAACACAUCCACCUUAAACAUGCCAAAAAGUAAUCACAAGUGGGAAGGAGGGAAUUUAAAGGGAUUCAACACUGGUUCAACAGAAAACACGAGUCCUAUGACACAAAAGCUACCUUGUCUUGGCAAAGUGUCUGGUAAUCCUCAAGCAGAUCAAACACAGCAGAGGAAGAAUGCUUCAGAAAAGAUGAAAGAAACUCUGGGAACAGACUAGCAGCCGCUAAAAAGACCAAACACUUUGGGGUUAACAGGAGAACUGUAAACUAAAUGUAGAGUCACAAAGAUGAUUUGAUACAUUUGUUUUACUCACCAGCUUCUCCUGGAUCAUCUUCUUUUAGUAAGGCAGAGCUAAGGUUGGUGAUGUCGUCUGUGAAACAACUGUUCUCCAAUGCAGAAACAGGUAGGGUGUACAUGCUGCUGGUCCAGUCACUGUCAUCCAAAUGCUAUAUGAUACAGACAGACACACGCUGUAAAAUCCCCAGAUUCUGUGUUACAUUUGCAGGGAGUCCAACUCCAAACCAUACUUGCUUGUUAAACCGUGUAAUUGUUAGACCAAUGAAUUUUUAAGUAUUUAUUUUUACAAUAAACAAAUGUUUCUAACUUUAAA